CCAGUGGCGCUCAUCCACUCCAGAAACCCUAUUCAGCUUGCCUCGGCCUCCCCCUCCGCCUUCGUUCCAGCCGCAAGCCAUGGCCGCCGCUCCCCAGAUCCACCUCCUCGCGCUCAACCGCAGACCGCCGCGUCGCUCGAUCGCUCGCCGCUCAGUUGGGUCAUCGUCGGCCGGCUCGUCCACAGUCCAGGUCGGGCAAGGGUAGGAGCCAAGGGGGCCGGCAUCAACCCCGACAGGGCAGGCAAGCGGGAGCUGGCAGCAGAGGCAACGGCGCGCUGCGGGCCGGGCGCCCAGCUGGACGGCCUCGCGCAUCAGCGAACUGCCUAAGGAGAGCAACGGGGCGCGGGGUGGCUCCUCGGCCUGCUCCCACACAACCACAGCCGCGGCGGCGAGUGGUGAGCAACAGCCUCGUGGUGGCAUGCGUAGAGCAUCGGCAUGCGGGGGAGGCGGCACUCCGACGCUGGGAGGCUGCUCGACCACACCUAGAUGGGCCUCGAGCUCGUCGGCGGUUUCUCACUCCCCCACCUGGGACCUUGCCCCCACCCCUGGAUGUGUGAGGGCACGCCACGCUUCGUGCCCCCAUAACAGCCUUGGCUUCUUGCUGUUAUUCGGCCUCACCCUGGUGCAUCUCGGCUAGUACUUCCCCCAGGUUGCUGAUUUGAUUUUGGGCACCUUUCCUGGUAAGCUUCUCUUCAGGUUCUGCUACUUUGUGUUACAGCAAAUUGGUUACUUUUGUUAAAUGCAUAGUCGGAAUUCGUAGAGCAAUUAAUCUGAUGUUACAGUGACAGUAGGGAGACGCCAUAAAUUAUCCACUAGGAUUUUGCAUCAUGCUUAGCAUAAUCAAAGAUAACUUAUUUUGACCUGCCCUUCCUGAUAGGGAAUUGCCCCGUAGAAGAUCAGUAGUUGCUCUAUGAAAUGUAGCAUAUCUCUGUGAACAAGUCCUAUUUUAGGUUGGCGAGCUGAGUUGUCUUAGAGCCGGCCACUCCCAUGCGUGUGUAUGUGGGUGGACUUUCUCCAACUGCCAAUGAACAGGGUAUUGUGCAGCAGGCAAUAAGUUUCUAAUUUUCUAUAGACAUCCCAAAGAAGGUAGGAGAAUCAGCAGAAGGCACAAGCAGUUGGCAAGAUUCAAAGUUUGUCCAAGGCAGUAGCCAUUGAGAAUGAGUAGGCAAUUUCUUCAUCUCAUGCUACUUUCUAGAUUCAUGAUGAAUGGUCCAUUGUUUAGUGAUUUGGACAUGUGACUUGGAUAUCUUGUUUGGUACUGUAUUUUCCUUAAGACUAUAUAUUACUAGUACCUAGUAGGGUUGUGCUACUGUAUUUGUGCCACUAGGAUUAAUGAAUGAUAGCGUGGCUACAUUUAUGUUGAUCUUGCGUGAUUCUAUCUUCUAUUUUGAUUGGGCUCUGGGCUGCAAUGUUUGUAAUGGGUUGAAUGAGGAAUGGGCUGUAAUAUGUGCAAAUGGGCUGGACAGAUAUAAAAAUGGUUGACAUGUGUAAAACGUAAUGGGCAUGCAAUUUAGCCCACAAUAUAAUGCUCUCCAAAUGGGCUUUGUUGGGCCAUUCAUUGUUUUGUGACGAAUCAAAUCGUUCUGCCACGCCAUAUCCUAGUCAUCCACGCCAUAUCCUAGUCAUCGCUACAUCAGCAGAAGACAAUUUUUUGUGAUGUUUUUUGUACUGCGUGACACUUGCAUAGUCAGUCAUGGCAUAGAUUUCGUGACGUUUUUUGGACUUGGUAGUGACGAAAAGCGAGCGUCACAAAUUAGUGACACCGCAAGGAUUGUCACAAAAUUUGUGACAAAAAAUUAUGUUUUUGUCAUAGAAUACAUUUUAUGAUCCAUAUUAGGCGACGAUCGCAUUUUCGUCACCCGAACGUCACAAAAUGCAAAACAUAACGAAAAUAACUAUUUCUAUGACAUAAAUAGAACGCCACCUAAUGUCAAAUCUCUUGUAGUGUUAUCCUUCUUGGAGCGGAAGACCCUCUUAUUCUUGUUCUUAGAACCAUCUUGACUCACAUGGUUCAUAAGCUCAGGGUGCUGUGAGCGAAGCCUUUGUUCCUCUUGAGCACACUUAGACACAAGUGUGGUUAUGUUCCAUUGCUUAUCACUCCCAUAGCCUUUGUUCCUCUUGAGCACACUUAGACACAAGUGUGGUUAUGUCCCAUUGCUUAUCACUCCCAUUGUAGUUUACCUUGAAAGGCUCAAAAACUGGUGGGAGGGAGGUCAUGACGUGGUGAAGCAGUGUAGCAUCAUUAAGGGGGCAAUCCAGGUCCUUAAGCUUAUCCCGGAUGUCCACCAUCCCCAUAAUGUGCUCCCUGACAUUACCUUGUCCAUUGUACUUAGCGGACAUGAGCUGGGACAGGAGGGUAUUGGCAUUGGACUUUGUAGAUCCCUUAAAGUACUCCUCAAUGCUCGUCAUGAAGCUCUUAGCACUCUUAGGCUCCUUCUCAAGAGCUCCCCUGAUUGUGAGACUGAUGGUAAAAUCCAUGACCAUGAGAGCAAUUCGAUCAGAGCGCUCCCAACGCUCCUUUUCCUUCUCAUAAGCAGCAGUGCGCUCAGCAAGGGUGGUGUCAUCAGUCCCUUGUGCAACUGGUGCUAUAGGAGCUCUGUCUCUCAUGAAAUGAUCCUUAUCCAUCAUGACCAAAAUCAGCUCUAUCUCACGGCUCAACUUUGCGAAGUUAUCACCUGACAGCUUCUCCACAACAUUGACAUAAGCAAUGAUACUGGCGGGAGUGGGAUAUGAGUAUAAGAAAAUAAAUAGAGUUUAUUCAGUAAUGACAACAUAAUGAAUAAAUGAAUUAAUCAGCGUUGGCCAGAAUAAAACAUAACUUAGUGCAAUUUGCAACACCGUUGGGCAGUAGCAAAUAAAGGAACUGAAUAACUUAUAAAAUAAACUUUGCAUCACCAUUGGGCAGAAACAAAGUAACUUAGCAUAAAGAAUGCAGCGGAAACUUAAUUUUGCAUCACUGUUGGGCAGAAGCAAAAUAAACUUAAAUUUAAACUAAACAUCUCGUGGCAAUUAUUUAAUAACAAUGUUGGUCAGAAAUUAAAUAAAUGCUCAAAAUAAACUAAACAAUUCUGAAUAAAAUUCACGUUGGUUUCAUUUUCUCAUAAUUUUCAGUGCAAAGAUGCUCAAAACAAAAUUCAUUUAGUACUCAUAUGAAUUUGUAACUUAAAUGCAUUGAAAAUUAAACUCAUAAAUGCAUAAAACGAAGAAAGUUAGGGGGCCUAAAGCUUAUUGGGCUCGAAGCCCAAAAACCGACCGGCGGGCCGGCCAUCCGGCCCUGCCGCGCCCCCACUCGCCCACCCCCGCCUGGGCUUGGGGCCCAGCAGCCAAUGGCUAGGCCGCCAAUUCGGCCCGAGCGGAGUCCCCACGUGGCUGAACUGAUCUGAGCCGUCCGAUCGGAAAACCCUUAUCCGACGGUCCGCACUGAACAUCGGAGGUAUAAAAGUGGACCUCUUCUAGGAAACCCUGACCCUAGCUCAUUCUUUUCCUCUCCACUCAUCCAGCAGCCCUGCAGCAGCACGGGCGCCGGCACUUCGGCCUCCGCCCGCCACCUCAAGCCGCUCGGCGUGCCUCCGCCGGUGUGCGCCUCCCGGAGCAUCUUAUGGCAACGCCGGCCAUGUCACCGGCCGGUGGUGGUGCUCCAGGGCCACCCCUCAAGCACCGCCAUUGCGGGUGCGGGUGCGCCGGAGAACCACCGCCGUCCGGCGUCGUGCUCUGGCCGCCACUUCCUCAAGCGCUGCUCCGGCCGGCCUCUGGAGCGGCUUCUCAUCCACGGCUUGGUAGGGCGCGGGUGCGUCGCCGGUCCCGGCGCCUUGCGGCGACCAUGAGGCCGACGGCGCAUCCGCGGUUUGCCUUGCCGCGGCGCCGUCCUUUUUUUUUACUGCCGCUGUGGGAGUCUCAGGACCCCAUGUAUUCUCAUGGUGCGCCGCCGCGGGUGCCACUGAGCCCCGUGCAUCCUCAUGGCGUAGCACCUUGCGAGCGCUCGGUAGUACGUUUAACUUAGCGGGCGCUGGGCGCCGCCUAGGGAGCUGGUCUUUUUUCUUUUUGUUUCUAAUGACGAGAUCUUAUGGCUUUUCGAAUCUGAGUGGGGGUUUUUGGGGUUUCUUUGGGGGUGAGAACCUAUGGAUCUGAUUGCUUUCUACUCAUUUCUUAUCUCUCACUCUCGGAUCUAAAGGUUUCCAUGCGAGAUCUAGGCUUAGGACUAGUAGAUCUACACUAAUCAUGAACUAAAACUUGAACCGAGAACUUAAAACACUUAGACCGAGAACUAAAACCAACCAAGAUCUGAAACUUGACUAGAUCUAGGGUUCUAAUGGCUCACGGAGUAGGUGCUCAGGCGAAUGAUACCAAAUGUAGGAAAAACAUGACUUAGUAUUUAACAUUUCCAGGAUCUAGCACCUAAUCAACAUGAGCACAACCCAAAUGAAAUGACAAGUUGUAGAUCUAGACCGGGAAGAAGUGGCAUCAUAGACGUAGCAGAUGUUUCGGCCAUCAUGGUUGGGGACGAGAGCGACAUAGGGGCCGUAGUCAUUCCCGUAGUUGUACCUGACGUAGUUGAAGGAGAUCGUCGCGGGUACCGCCUGCCUUCGGGUCGCCACUGGCACUGUCCAGGGAUGGCGGCGCGCAGGUUGGCGACGGCCUUCAGGAGGCUCCAGUGCCGCCACAGAUCGGGCGGCUGUAGUGGGGCGGCUAGGGUUUUGACUCAGUUGGACUGACUUUCCAAAGGCCGGGCCCGACAUUCAAUAUGUUGAUGACACGGUCAUCAUGAUAGAUGGGUCAGAACAAUCUGUGCUAAAUCUCAAACCCAUCUUAUACUUGAAUGGCUCUCUGGAUUGAAAAUAAACUUCCAUAAGAGCGAUGUCUUUGGGUUUGGAAUGGAUCAGACGCAGCACGAGAGACUGGCCAAUAUGCUCAACUGUAAGCUGGGCUCUUGGCCAAUGAGGUAUCUGGGGAUACCAAUUUAAGACUCAAAACUGGGUGCUGUAGAUUUUGCAGGGUUGAAGCAAAAAAUGAGUAAAAGACUUGACACUUGAAAAGGUAAGGACCUAUCCUCAGGAGGGAAACAGGUGCUUUUAAACUCCUGUCUCUCUGGUUUACCAAUGUUCAUGAUGGGCUUUUACCUACUCCCUAAGGCCUCGUUCGGCAAGGCUCGGAACGGCCCGAAAUGAGGCCCAAUCUGGGCGGAUUGGGAUAGCCCGGAAUGAAAUCAGGUUUGGCCCGGAAUCACUGUUCGAUUGGCCUAGCCCGGAAUCAAACAUGGACCGGAUCAGCCUCCCAUUCCAGCUCCAUGGCCCGGAACAAAGCUGGACCUCCUCCCUCCCGGAACGAAACCAGGCGAGGCGUCGCGAGUCUCCGACGUGAAAUCAGGAGGCGGCAGCGUGCGAGGCGCCAAGGCGGCGGGGCGAGGCGACGGCGACGACGCAGCGGCACGGCACGUGCUCCGCCAUCUUCUCGCCGAUUGUACCAGCAGUUCCUAGAAUUGGUGAAGACGAGCCACCUCCUUCCUGGGACCCCGUUUUGACUCCGAAAGCUCAAGAACACAUCUGACAAGAAGAAGAGGUUUCAAGGUCUAAGUUAUACCUUAUCCAUGUCACCUAUAUAUAUAGUGGGCUAAAUAAUGGAUCUUGUUUCGGCCGAGGAGUUCAAUGUUACUAUGUUUGCAAUUUUGGAUCAGUGACUUCUCUAGCAUAUUGUCACCUUGUUGAGACCUAGUUCUGUGUUGCCAGAACGUGCUCUUUCUAUCUUUAUACCUUAUAUGGCAGUCAAAGGUUUUUAUUCUGUAAACUAAUGCUUGAAUCAUUUGUUGACUAGUGCUUUGAUACUGCUUGCUCCAGGCUCGUAUAGUGCUUGCUCCGGCAUGUGUUUGCUUUGAUAUGGCAGUAUGUAUUAUAUAUUUUGUGAUCACUCCAGAAUGUGCUUUCUUUGAUAGUGCUUUGAAUGCACUACGGAAUGUGAAAGUUUGUAUUAUAUAGUGCUUGCUGCAA